GACGAACGCUGGCGGCGUGCUUAACACAUGCAAGUCGAACGAUGAACCCGGAGCUUGCUCCGGUGGAUUAGUGGCGAACGGGUGAGUAACACGUGAGUAACCUGCCCUUGACUCUGGAAUAACUGCGGGAAACUGUAGCUAAUACCGGAUACGACCCUCGGCGGCAUCGCCAGGGGGUGGAAAGAAUUUCGGUCAAGGAUGGACUCGCGGCCUAUCAGCUAGUUGGUGAGGUAACGGCUCACCAAGGCGACGACGGGUAGCCGGCCUGAGAGGGUGACCGGCCACACUGGGACUGAGACACGGCCCAGACUCCUACGGGAGGCAGCAGUGGGGAAUAUUGCACAAUGGGCGCAAGCCUGAUGCAGCAACGCCGCGUGAGGGAUGCCGGCCUUCGGGUUGUAAACCUCUUUCAGCACCGACGAAGCGCAAGUGACGGUAGGUGCAGAAGAAGGACCGGCCAACUACGUGCCAGCAGCCGCGGUAA
rnacentral:rRNA from 1 species